rnacentral:rRNA from 1 species
GCAGUGGGGAAUAUUGCACAAUGGGGGAAACCCUGAUGCAGCGACGCCGCGUGAGCGAUGAAGUAUUUCGGUAUGUAAAGCUCUAUCAGCAGGGAAGAAGAUGACGGUACCUGACUAAGAAGCCCCGGCUAACUACGUGCCAGCAGCCGCGGUAAUACGUAGGGGGCAAGCGUUAUCCGGAUUUACUGGGUGUAAAGGGAGCGUAGACGGCGGUGCAAGCCAGAUGUGAAAGCCCGGGGCUCAACCCCGGGACUGCAUUUGGAACUGUAUGGCUGGAGUGUCGGAGAGGCAGGCGGAAUUCCUAGUGUAGCGGUGAAAUGCGUAGAUAUUAGGAGGAACACCAGUGGCGAAGGCGGCCUGCUGGACGAUGACUGACGUUGAGGCUCGAAAGCGUGGGGAGCAAACAGGAUUAGAUACCCUGGUAGUCCACGCCGUAAACGAUGACUACUAGGUGUCGGGCAGCAAAGCUGUUCG